rnacentral:rRNA from 1 species
GAUGAACGCUGGCGGCGUGCUUAACACAUGCAAGUCGAACGGAAAGGCCGAAGCUUGCUUCGGUACUCGAGUGGCGAACGGGUGAGUAACACGUGGGUGAUCUGCCCUGUACUUCGGGAUAAGCUUGGGAAACUGGGUCUAAUACCGGAUAUGACGAUCUCUUGGAUGGGGUUGUGGAAAGCUUUUGCGGUAUGGGAUGAGCUCGCGGCCUAUCAGCUUGUUGGUGGGGUAAUGGCCUACCAAGGCGUCGACGGGUAGCCGGCCUGAGAGGGUGUACGGCCACGUUGGGACUGAGAUACGGCCCAGACUCCUACGGGAGGCAGCAGUGGGGAAUAUUGCACAAUGGGCGCAAGCCUGAUGCAGCGACGCCGCGUGGGGGAUGACGGCCUUCGGGUUGUAAACUCCUUUCGCAAUCGACGAAGCCUUUUGGUGACGGUAGGUUGAGAAGAAGCACCGGCUAACUACGUG